rnacentral:rRNA from 1 species
UACGUAGGUGGCGAGCGUUAUCCGGAAUGAUUGGGCGUAAAGGGUGCGCAGGCGGUCUGUUAAGUCUGAAGGCAAAGGGAUGAGCUCAACUCAUUUAUGAUUCAGAAACUGGCAGACUUGAGGACAGGAGAGGGCGGUGGAACUCCAUGUGUAGCGGUAAAAUGCGCAGAGAUAUGGAAGAACACCAGUGGCGAAGGCGGCCGCCUGGCCUGUGACUGACGCUGAGGCACGAAAGCGUGGGGAGCAAAUAGG